rnacentral:rRNA from 1 species
GACGUAGGAGGCGAGCGUUAUCCGGAAUCACUGGGCGUAAAGGGCGUCUAGGCGGUCGAUCAAGCGGGGUGUGAAAGCUCCUGGCUCAACUGGGAGAGUGCGCUCCGAACUGAUGGACUAGAGGGCGGGCGAAGGGGGUGGAAUUCCCGGUGGAGUGGUGAAAUGCGUAGAGAUCGGGAGGAACACCAGAGGCGAAAGCGGCCCCCUAGCCUGCACCUGACGCUGACGCGCGACGGCGUGGGGAGCAAACGGG